rnacentral:lncRNA from 1 species
AAGUCAACAUUAAACAACAAGAUUCAUGGCUAAAUCACAACCCCAAAACUAUGUGUUUUAGCCACUCAUGAUAAUAGCAAACAAUUUCAUAAGUGUUGGAUAAUUGAAAAUACUAAGAAAAGAUGAAGAAAACUGAGAUUUCUUCGCUCCCGGAUGUUUCUCGUGUGUAUUCUCCCUUCAAAGUGGCGUCCCCCCUAAAAAAUAAGCUUAGCCUUGCUUUUAUACGUGUUGGGUAGAGGUCUAGGACCGAAAUAACCUUCUCCCGGGGAAAAUUGGACAUGAUUCACGCCGCCAGCGUCCAGCCCGGCGCCAGGCGCUGCCAAAUUGGAGUACACUGUUUCUGGUGCCACAGAUAGCGCUAGGCGUUGGCUGUUGCGCUAGAAUAUCCAUUUUUUGCUUUUUUUCAUCCAUUUCAGCUCUAAUCUUGCACCUUUUGCCCCUAAUUGCACCUGGAUCAUUCCUACACGUAAAAACACCUCAAAUUAAUAUAAAUCAAUAUAUUUUACAUACUAAAUCCACGAAACAAAAGUAAAACAUGAGGUGAUAUACAUAUAAAUAUAUAUACUUUAAGCUAAAUAUCAGUAGACUUAGGAAGAUAUAUGUCAUGACCCAAAUUCAUAUUACGUAUUGUCCGUUUUGAGCUUAGAACCGUACGGAUUUGUCUUUCGGACUGUGUCAUAUCGAGUCUCAAAAGUGUGCGUACCAUGUGAACUUGUGUCAUAUCUUACAAAACACUUCACUUUCUUCUCCCAUUUCGAUGUGGGAUUCGUCUAAGGUGACAUAUGAACGCGUUCUUCAGAAGCUUGCCAGCCUAGAAGUCUGCCAGUCUAUUUGCCUCGCCCUCCGUCAUGGGUAUCACAUUCACCCCCCCCCCCCCCUCCCCCCGGAGUUAGCGUCCUCGUUGAGGUUUGCCACACGAUCGUACUAAGAAAGAUUCGGCUCUGAUAUCUUAUUUAUCACGACCCAACCCCAUGGCACGCAUUGUCCACUUCGGGCCUAGGCCCACGGAUUUUUUGGGCUAUGCCACAUCGAGCCCCAAUAAGUGAGUGACCAUGUGAACUUGUGUUAUGCCUUAUAAAGCACUUCGCGUUCCUCUUCUAUUCCGAUGUAGGAUUUGCCUAAGGUGACAUGUGCACCCCUUCUUCAGAAGCUUAUCAGCCUAGAAGUCUACCAGUUUGCUUGGCUUGCCCUCAUUAGCGAGGCUCUGUCAUGAGCAUCACAAUAUAUUAAUACGAUAUUUUAAAUGUUUGCUCGAAUUCUCGGUUCCGUGAAAAACCACCUAGUCCUAGCCAUAUUUGUUGCAAGCCUACCUGAAUAUUAAUUGGUAUACCUAAAAAAGGUUUUUGGACUCCUAAUCAUGUAUUAGGAGAAUACCUAGGGUAAGGGUGUCAAGUUUGAGUCUGUUACGUGUGAGUUCUUUAUACUAAUUUUGAUAUAACCACUUCAAAAUUUGCAAGUCAGAAUGAGUCGUCUUAAGAUGGGAUGAGCGACGAUUUGUAAUCAUGAUACGCUCAACUGGGCGAGUUAUACUUGUGUGAGUAAAGAUUAACAUAUUAGUAAUAGUUAAUCUUAAAGGGAGAGUACAAAUUGAUAUAUAUAAAUUCAUAUAUAACCAUAACUAUUUUACUGUUAAUACAACUAUUAGCCUCUUUUAUUAAGGUGUUAAUUCACACCUCUCAUAUAUAAGUUACAAUAUCUCCCGACAAUAUCCCAAUUCCCAACCACAAAACUGUUUCAAAAAUUUGUCCAAAAAAUGACAUCUGAUAUGCAUCCCAUAUUUUUGACUUUCUGAAAAGGUGAAGCAAGGUGCGAAUAUUAGGUGGAACAAAUCGCUAAAAUAUUGGUAACAAGGUGGACCUACAAAUCCAAUCCAUUGAAUCUUUGCAUUAUAAACAGUGAUGUAAACGAUAAUAUGCAAGAAAAAAAGUACUGUAAAAGAACCUAAUGCUUGAUUCAGCUGAAUUUGUGUACUUACCUUUAAACAGCUCCUGGCAUUCUUGAAACAACCUUUUAGAAUUGAGGCGUAGUUAAUUCAUCGAUGCUUUGUAGCAAAACAUAGUUGGUUGAUCUACUGAUAAAGAUGUUAUCAAUCCCUGAAUCAAGGAACUACGCACUUUCAAUCCCUUACCACCUUUCAAACAUAAUUGAUUGAUCUACCGACGUUAGAUGUUGUCGAUGGACUACACACUUUCAAUCCCUUACCAUUGCCUUUCUCCUACUGCGCAAAGUACCAAUCGCCC